AUUAGAUACCCUAUUAUUUUUAUUGUAAAAAUUUAAGCUAGAGUAUUAAUAGUUAUGAUCUUCAAACUUAAAGAAUUUGGCGGUAUUAUAGUCUAUUUAGAGGAAUCUGUUAUUUAAUCGAUAAUCCACGUAGAACCUUACUUAAAUUAUUUCUUGUAUACCGCUGUUUAAGAAUAUACUUUUAGGUUAUUUUCUGAAUAUAUAAGUAAUUAGAAUUUCAAGUCAAGGUGCAGUAAUAUAUAAGUUUAAUAAUGGAUUACAAUAAAUUUUAUUUAUUAUGAAUUAUUUAUUGAAAUAUAAUUUGAAGGUGGAUUUAAUUGUAAUUUUAUAAAGAUUAUUAAAAUGAUUUAUAGCUCUAUAAUAUGUACACAUCGCCCG
rnacentral:rRNA from 1 species